rnacentral:hammerhead_ribozyme from 1 species
AUAGAGUUGACGAGUCCAAAAUAGGACGAAAUGCGCGUCCUCGAU